rnacentral:lncRNA from 1 species
AGCAAAGUGCAGUUUACUUGCAUAGAGGCUGGAAGCCCUAAAAUCCCAAACUGAUUCCUUCUCAAUGACCGAAAGCGCCGAAAAAGAUAAGGGAAAGAACAAGAAAAAGAUAAGGGAAAGAACAAACAAUGCAACAAGAAGGCAACAUGUGCAACUCAAGCGAAAUAAGUAUCAUAAAUCUCAACGAUGAGUGAGAGAUACCCAGAACUUCAGUGACGUGUCAAUGUGGGUACAUGAAAGAGGGAACUGCUGAUCCGAAAAGAAGGUUUAUUGGUUGUUCUCCUUUUAAGGUGUAUGUCCUAAUUUUUUUAUUCUUUCUUCUUAUAAUGAUGCUCUGUUUAAAUUUUUCCCUAAUUUUUCUUUUUUCGGGUUUCGCCAUAAUCCCUUUAAAUUUAUUUUCUCUGUAAUUAUGGAUAAUGAAUUUGGGCUUUUGGUUUGAUUGUUAAUGAGAAUAAUAAUUGGGAUAAUUUGUGGUAGGAUAAAAGUUUAUGUUUUAGGAUUUUUAAAUGGUGUGAUCCACCAUUUACGGAGAGAUUAAGGGAAAUGAUAUUGAAGUUGAAGGAAGCAAUGAAAAAGUUGAGAGAUUGAUACCGCUACAAGAAAAAAGAGUAAUUCCAACGGAAUUAUCUUCGACAUAAAUAAUUCCCUCGAAAUUAGUAUAUUUUCGACGGAACAUAAUUAUGUCAGAAUUAGGAU